rnacentral:rRNA from 1 species
AUUGAACGCUGGCGGCAGGCCUAACACAUGCAAGUCGAACGAGUGGCGGAAGGGUGAGUAAUGUCUGGGAAACUGCCCGAUGGAGGGGGAUAACUACUGGAAACGGUAGCUAAUACCGCAUACCAUCGGAUGUGCCCAGAUGGUAUUGGAUAGUAGGUGGGGUAACGGCUCACCUAGGCGACGAUCCCUAUCUGGUCUGAGAGGAGGACCAGCCACACUGGAACUGAGACACGGCCCAGACUCCUACGGGAGGCAGCAGUGGGGAAUAUUGCACAAUGGGCGCAAGCCUGAUGCAGCCAUGCCGCGUGUAUGAAGAAGGCCUUCGGGUUGUAAAGUACUUUCAGCGAGGAGGCGUUACUCGCAGAAGAAGCACCGGCUAACUCCGUGCCAGCAGCCGCGGUAAUAC